rnacentral:rRNA from 1 species
AUCUAUGGCCAUACCACAGUCAACUACAUUGAGUCUCAGUCUGAUCUCAGAAGCUAAGCAGGGUUGGGACUGGGUAGUAUUUGGGUGGGAAAGUGCCACAGAACCAGGGAAAUACCCAGUACUGUGAUUU